rnacentral:rRNA from 1 species
AACGAACGCUGGCGGCAUGCCUAACACAUGCAAGUCGAACGAGACCUUCGGGUCUAGUGGCGCACGGGUGCGUAACGCGUGGGAACCUGCCCUUAGGUUCGGAAUAACUCCCCGAAAGGGGUGCUAAUACCGGAUAAUAUCUUCGGACCAAAGAUUUAUCGCCUUUGGAUGGGCCCGCGUUGGAUUAGCUAGUUGGUAGGGUAAAAGCCUACCAAGGCGACGAUCCAUAGCUGGUCUGAGAGGAUGAUCAGCCACACUGGGACUGAGACACGGCCCAGACUCCUACGGGAGGCAGCAGUGGGGAAUAUUGGACACUGGGCGAAAGCCUGAUCCAGCAAUGCCGCGUGAAUGAUGAAGGCCUUAGGGUUGUAAAGCUCUUUUACCCGGGAUGAUAAUGACAGUACCGGGAGAAUAAGCUCCGGCUAACUCCGUG